CCUACGGGAGGCAGCAGUAAGGAAUAUUGGUCAAUGGGCGCAAGCCUGAACCAGCCAUGCCGCGUGCAGGAAGACGGCCCUAUGGGUUGUAAACUGCUUUUGAACAAGAGAAAACCUCGGUACGUGUACCGAGCUGAUAGUAUUGUUAGAAUAAGCAUCGGCUAACUUCGUGCCAGCAGCCGCGGUAAGACGAAGGAUGCAAGCGUUAUCCGGAUUCAUUGGGUUUAAAGGGUGCGUAGGCGGCCUGAUAAGUCAGUGGUGAAAUCUCUCAGCUUAACUGAGAAACUGCCAUUGAUACUGUCGGGCUUGAGUACAGAUGAUGUGGGCGGAAUAUGACAUGUAGUGGUGAAAUACUUAGAUAUGUCAUAGAACACCGAUUGCGAAGGCAGCUCACAAAACUGUAAACUGACGCUGAGGCACGAAAGUGCGGGGAUCAAACAGGAUUAGAUACCCUGGUAGUCCGCACCGUAAACGAUGAUUACUCGUUGUUGGCAAUAUGACCGUCAGCGACCAAGCGAAAGCGAUAAGAAUCCACCUGGGGAGUACGCCGGCAACGGUGAAACUCAAAGAUAGUUACGGCGNGAGAGAGCGACGACGACGACGAGGAGGGAGGAGG
rnacentral:rRNA from 1 species